AGUAAUAACAAACCCUAAAUGAAGCAUUUGACCGCUUUCAAAAAGAAGAAAAAACAAAGUUUUUCUCUCCAAUAUUCGACCGACCAACAGUCCUUCAUUCGACUAUUCCUGCCUCUCCUUUCGACUCAUACAAUGGUCAAUCAAGGCUUCAUUGAACCAUAAGUUUGUGAGUCUUGCUCGCAAGCCCCAAAUUGCUAGUUAGUUUCGAUUGUGACGAAACAAACAGGGAUUCGAAGGCGUCAAAACACAGAUAAGUUUCUUCAUUUUUUUAUUAUACAAUAAAUGAAAGUCAUGAAGAAAGAAAGAUAUGAGAACCAAAUCGGGGGAAAAGCCAAAAAUCACCUUUUCUGAUUUGUUUUCGAAGUGCGUUUUUCAUAUUCAGUAUGCGUAAGUUCUUAGAGAUUUCAUUCAGUGGCUUUUUAUAGCCGAAAAAUGAGAAUAAAAUAAAUAAGAAAAAUCAAUUUGCUUUACUGUAAUUUGCUGCAUAUUUUGUUAGUCUGCUUCUUCUCACAGGUUCGACUAUACGGAGGAAGGCCACUCGUGGGGAGGCUGUGAUGCGCGUGAGUAGCAGUUUGGUGACCUGGGAUUUCCAGAGUCUUCACCCAUCCGGGCAAUUUGGGCUAAUUUCGGGAUUAGGCCUACUGGGGUGUUAGUUUAUUUGGGCUAGGAUUUAGACCUAAUGUUUGGGUCGGAUAUUAUUUAGGUUAAUUGGGUCAUGGGCUAUUUUAGACUAAUGGACUUUUAUUACAUUGGUUUUUUUAUUCUUUUGUUUUAUUUUGGUUUUGGGUUCUUUUAUGGGCUCGGAGUUUUGUAAAUGGACAUUGGUUUAUUUUGAUUUUAUUAUUUUAUUAUUUUUUUGGCUUUUUGGUUAAUUAUAGGCCCGGGCAAAUUGGGCCUAUUACAUUACCAUCCCAGAUGGCUCAAAAAUGAUGACUUUCAUUAUCUAUAUAUUCUACCAUCUCGAGUGACCCGAUAAUGAUGGCUUUCAUUUUCUAUAUAUUUUACCAACCCAAGUAGCUCAACAAUGAUGAUUUUCACUAUUUCGAUGGUCCUAUCACAUGCCAACUAAACUCGGCUUUGCCUUAGACAGUUAGUAGGUAACCACUACAUUAAUACACAUCAUAGACAGUUAGUAGGCAGCC
rnacentral:lncRNA from 1 species